UCGAUAGCUUAAUUGGUAGAGCGCUUGGCUGUUAACCAAGAGGUUGUGGGUUCGACUCCCACUCGA
rnacentral:tRNA from 1 species